rnacentral:snRNA from 1 species
GUGCUUGCUUCAGCACAUACACUAAAAUUGGAACCAUACAGAGAAGAUUAGCAUGGCCCUGCGCAAGGAUGACACGCAAAUUCGUGAAGCGUUCCAUAAAAAA